rnacentral:rRNA from 1 species
GGUGCGGGGCGGGAGGCAGGAGUAAUUCGAUAAGUACGGUAAAGCAGGCAUAGAAAAGUGAAAAUUGGGGGGUGGGGGGGGGUUUUUUUUUUUUUUUAUAUAAAAAAGCGGCGCAUUAUGACUGUGCGAAGGUAGCAUAAUUAAUUGCCCUUUAAUUGGGGGCUUGUUUGAAUGGUUUGACGUAGUAAUUGGUAAUAUCUGAUAUAUCGUUGAAAUUGGUUUGGGUGGUUCAGAACCCCCUAUAGUUUAAUAAGACGGAAAGACCCCGGGAUCUUUUGUUUUUGCCUGGGGCAGGUGUUAAUCAUUCAUUAAUAUUUUGUUCCUAGAUUUUGGGUAAUUGGUUUAAGUUACCCCGGGGAUAACAGUGUGAUAAUUAAUUAGAGAUCUUAUCGAAUUAAUUGCUUGCCACCUCGAUGUUGACUUAGAUUUAUUCUUGGGAGCAGUAGUUCAAGAAUUGGGUCUGUUCGACCUUAAAAAUCUCCAUGAGUUGAGUUAAGACCGGCGUGAGCCAGGUCGGUUCUUAUCUAUUAUUGAGGCUUGUUAGUACGAAAGGACCCCAAGUCUUUUUUUUGAGUGUGUAGUCAAUUUGGCCUCUGCUUUGCAAAAGCGGAUGAGAAAUAAUUUGUUAUUUCCACGUUCUGUGUGUUUAACUGUGGCAAUAAGAAGUGUUUAUCAUAUUAACUGCAUAAAAAGUUUAUAUCAUAGUUAAAAUUGGUUUCGGUUUAGUUAGUUAGCAGUUAGUUUUUUAUUUGGACGUUAGUCCUUUAAGAGUAUGGUUAAUAAAGGGGAAAGGGCACAGUGCCAGCAUCUGCGGUUAGUCUGUUUUCUUUGCUUUUUAUUGGGCUAUAUUUAAAUAUUUAUAGGCAAGUUUAGGUGAAAUUUACUUGCCUUCUUUAUUGGGUAUUUAGAUGAUGAUAAAUAAUAUAUAAUGACAGGGAUUAGAUACCCCAUUAAUUAAUUAGAUUAUUAUGUCUUAGUAUAARCUCAAAUAGUUUUGGCAGCCUAACGAAUAUCCUAUCGGGGGAAGGGGUGUUUUAAAACGGACAAUAACCCCCAUCCAACCCUUCGCUCCUUUAUUUUUUUUUCCUUUCCGUUUUACUCCAUCUAUUUUUCCUCUCUUCCACCUUGCUAUUUU